AGAAACACUACUCCACACCCUUCUUUUUUUUUCUUCCGUCUGUCUCCAUUUGAUAUGAUAUAUAUAUUACAACAACAAUUAUUCAUAGUAUAGAAAAAAUAUCCGAAAAAAUGGGAAGAGGAAGAGUCCAGUUGAAGCGAAUAGAGAACAAAAUUAACCGUCAAGUUACCUUCUCGAAACGUCGAUCUGGUUUGCUGAAGAAAGCCCAUGAGAUCUCUGUGCUUUGUGAUGCUGAGGUUGGUUUGAUUGUUUUUUCUACUAAAGGAAAACUCUUUGAAUAUGCCAACGAUUCCUGCAUGGAGAGGAUACUUGAAAGAUAUGAAAGAUACUCAUUUGCUGAGAAACAGCUUGUUCCUACUGAUCAUACCUCCCCGGUAAGCUGGACCCUUGAACAUGCAAAACUUAAGGCCAGACUUGAGGUUCUGCAGAGGAACCAAAAGCAUUAUGUGGGAGAAGAUUUGGAGUCCUUAAGUAUGAAGGAACUUCAGAAUCUGGAGCACCAGCUUGAUUCAGCUCUUAAACACAUUCGAUCAAGAAAGAAUCAAUUGAUGCAUGAGUCCAUUUCUGUGCUUCAAAAAAAGGACAGAGCAUUGCAGGAGCAAAACAACCAGCUUUCGAAGAAGGUGAAGGAGAGGGAGAAAGAGGUGGCACAGCAAAAUCAGUGGGAAAUCAACUCAUCUUCAUUUGUUUUGCCACAACAACUGGACUCUCCUCACCUUGGGGAAGCAUACCAGAGUACUAAUGUAAUAGAUAAUGGGGAAGUGGAAGGAGGUAGUUCUUCACAGCAGCAAGGUGCAGCUAAUAAUACUGUGAUGCCACAAUGGAUGCUUCGUCAUCUUAAUAAUUAAAAGGUAUCAUUAAUACUUCAAUAUAAUUAACUAGGUAUAUAAUUUUGAUGCCACAAUAUAUUAAUUAAAAGGUAUCAUUAAUACUUCAAUAUAAUUAACUAGGUAUAUAAUUUUGAUGCCACAAUAUAUUGUCUAUGUGUACUUGCUUUCAAAGACAUGCCACAAUAUAGAUGGAUUGUUGUAAAAACAUUAUAAUAUAUGUUAAAAAUAAA
rnacentral:misc_RNA from 1 species